UUCAUCCGGGUUUCAAGAUCCCUACGAAAUCUCCAAGAAAUGGUCAGUCGAAAUUCUCCACCGAAAUUCCAUGAACGGAGUGAGAUGCACCUCACCGGAAGCUGACAUCGUCCUCCCCACGACUCUAAGUCAGUGUUUCUUCAAAUCAAAACCUCACUCUGAUCUGACGCUCGCCGAUCCACACACCCAAAUUUAAAACUCAAUGGCAACAAAAGCAAAACUACAUCUUCCUCAUUCGAUCUCAAAUCGGCACUGAAACAACAAACACGGCGCAAGAAAUUCGGAAUCGCUUCGAUCUUGCGCGAACAACCCAAAAUUUGACGAAGAUGAACGAAUUCGGUUUUCUCCCUUCAAUUCGAAAACGAAAUUGACGUCGAUUGCGUUUCGAUCCUCUUCUUUGCUUAUCACACUUCAGUUUGCGACGUUGUUGUUGUUUUAAGAUGAAGGAUGUUGGCACUGCCACUUUGUCGUGUGCGACGGCGUAUUGAGAUUGAUAUGAAGCCUUGCUCGUGUGCGCUUGCGAUGGUUGUUGAAGCGAGGCAGGCGAUGAAGAUGUGUGAAGAUUUUGUGGAGAGGAAGGUGACGAAGAAGAUAGGAGAUUGAAGUUUCUUGAAGGUUUUGCAUAGUUGCAAAAAUGGAGAAGAUUAGAAGAUGGUGACAAAGCCGAAAGGGAUUAAAUCAUUCUAACAAAAAUGGAAGAGCAUGGAAUCAUGAACAUAUCGGAGGAAUUGUAGUUGGAAGGUUCAAGCCCUAAUUCCGCUCCCUUCACGUCAACAAAAUGGACUCAAGGCCAAAACUUCAACCGAUAUCAAGAACAACAUGGAAACGAGGCUAACAAUUCACACUAGCAAUGGAAUGAAAACAUGACGCCAUUAGUUAUGAUAAAUCGAAGUAACUUACCAGAAUGAAGCACCGCAGAGGUUCCGGUGUCGUCGAUGUCGCUCACAGGUUAGGAACUUUGGCUUGGACUUAUGAAAGGCUUUGGUGUGUGGAAACAAAUGAGUGUUGCUUGGACCCUGUGAAGCUAUGCGAAACCGAGUCAAGCAUUCCAUCUUCCAAACACAAGGCAACGUGUCGCUUCUACCAUAACUUCACUGCACCCUUGGCCAUCGGCGGAGGCUAGCCAUAAACCUUUUGUGACUUGCUCCGGUGUCGGAGAGGAAGUUGUUAAUGCCCGCUUGGAUUAACUGAAAAACUACUUCGGGUUUGUUGGAAGUCUUGUUCAACCGAAAACCGGUGUGGCGGAGAGAUUCCAUCA